rnacentral:rRNA from 1 species
UCGAGGAUCUUCGGCAAUGCGCGCAAGCGCGACCGAGCGACGCCGCGUGGGCGACGAAGGCCUUCGGGUUGUAAAGCCCUGUCGAGGGGGAGGAAGGGGAAACCUUGACCUAUCCCUGGAGGAAGCUCGGGCUAAGUUCGUGCCAGCAGCCGCGGUAAGACGAACCGAGCGAACGUUGUUCGGAAUCACUGGGCUUAAAGGGCGCGUAGGCGGGCUGCCAAGUCCGGGGUGAAAGCCUCCGGCUCAACCGGAGAACGGCCUCGGAUACUGGCGGCCUAGAGGCGGGUAGGGGCAAGCGGAACUGUGGGUGGAGCGGUGAAAUGCGUUGAGAUCCACAGGAACUCCGGUGGCGAAGGCGGCUUGCUGGACCCGAUCUGACGCUGAGGCGCGAAAGCCAGGGGAGCGAACGGGAUUAGAUACCCCCGUAGUCC